CAGGCGGCAGUUGCAUAGGCAUGUUUGCUUUGUGAACAAACCGCAUACUUGAAAAGCUUGCACCGUAGUCGGUGCGCAAUGGGGGUACUUUGAAAAGUUUGUGGAAACAUUGAAUUAAAAGGCAAACUUAUUUUGGUACAAAAAAUUGAAAUCCAUGCAUAGUUUCACCAUAAUAUGAUUUUCAUGUAAUUUCAGAAGAGCCCUAGUAUCAGAUGUUAAUAAAAAUUUCAUUUGAAACAGAAUUCUGAAGAUUUCUUCUACUGGACUCUGUUCCUUUUGUGAGCCAUUAUUUUCUAGAGCUAGAUAUUAAUCUAUUGGCUUCAAAAUCUUCCAGAGAAAGCUCUGGUAACUAAAAAUAUAUGAAUUAGGAAAAUAUACAGAAAGAUAAGAAGCCUGCAGAGAGAAACCAAUAGCUAGAGAGAUGGGAGUCAAUGGAGAUAAGGAAAGAUUAUAAGGAAGGAGAAAAAGAACAACAGCAAUUUAUUCAAGUUUCCAUAGACAUAUAAUUUUACUUAAUAUUAGGCCAAAAAUAACAUUGUCUUUUUUCUGUUAUCACAUUAAAAAAUAGCAAAUACAUACUUAUUGCAGAAAAUACAAAAACAGGUAAGAAAAAGAAAAGUGGUCACAUAUCAUCUACUAUCCUGUCAUCUUAAAGCAAUCUUUGUUAACUUGUUGUUGAAUGAUCUUCCAUUUAACAAUUUCUUUUUUUUACUUUUUAAAAAUUAGCAUAAAGAGAACAGAUUUCAUGUAUUUCAAAGAUACAAUUCUAAGAACAUGACAUUACUUCCCUCCCUCCCUCCUCCUUAUUUCCUUUCUUUUUCUUCUUUGAAUUUUUAUAACAUAUCUUCAGUUUACUUUAUAAUCACAGCUUAAUACUCCACUAAAUGUUGUGUUCAACAAGUAAAACAUAGAAAGCACUGUUCCACUGGAAUAUAGAUAAGGGUUAUAAAUGAUAAUCAAAUCUUAAGAUGUCAAUUUCAUUCUUACACAUUUAGUUUUUUUUGUCCCCUUGCAUUAGCUACCAUAAAUCAUAGAAAACAUUUGAUAUUCUACUCAACACUUUCUUCAAAUGGAUUUAUAAAACUUGAAUUUUGCUUACCUAUUUUUCUAAAUUGCAUUAUUUUUAUUCAGUUAAAAUGAAUAAAAAUUCAGUUAACUUCCAUUGUGAUUUUUCUUUGAUCGCUUCUUGGCCUUUUGGCUAAGAUCAAGUGUGAUUUU
rnacentral:lncRNA from 1 species